GGGGUGUGGCUCAGAUGGUAGAGUGCUCGCUUAAUAUGAGAAAGGUACGGGGAUCGAUACCCGCGCCUACA
rnacentral:tRNA from 1 species